UACGGAGGGUGCAAGCGUUAAUCGGAAUUAUUGGGCGUAAAGGGCGCGUAGGCGGAUUAUUAAGUCAGAUGUGAAAUUUCGGUGCUCAAAACCGAAGCUGCAUAUGAAACUAGUAGUCUAGAGGGUUAACGGAGAAAACGGAAUUCCACGUGUAGCGGUGAAAUGCGUAGAUAUGUGGAAGAACACCUGUGGCGAAAGCGGUUUUCUAGUAAACAACUGACGCUGAGGCGCGAGAGCAAGGGGAGCAAACAGG
rnacentral:misc_RNA from 1 species